rnacentral:rRNA from 1 species
GACGAACGCUGGCGGCGUGCUUAACACAUGCAAGUCGAACGGAAAGGCCCUGCUUUUGUGGGGUGCUCGAGUGGCGAACGGGUGAGUAACACGUGAGUAACCUGCCCUUGACUUUGGGAUAACUUCAGUAAACUGGGGCUAAUACCGGAUAUGAGCUCCUUCUGCAUGGUGGGGGUUGGAAAGUUUCGGCGGUUGGGGAUGGACUCGCGGCUUAUCAGCUUGUUGGUGGGGUAGUGGCUUACCAAGGCUUUGACGGGUAGCCGGACUGAGAGGGUGACCGGCCACAUUGGGACUGAGAAGCGGCCCAGAGUCAUACGGGAGGCAGCAGUGGGGAAUAUUGCAAAAUGGGCGGAAGCCUGAUGCAGCAACGCCGCGUGGGGGAUGACGGCCUGCGGGUUGUAAACCGCGUUCGCCUGUGACGAAGCGUGAGUGACGGUAAUGGGUAAAGAAGCACCGGCUAACUACGUG